UACGGAGGGGGCGAGCGUUGUCCGAAGUUACUGGGCGUAAAGCGCGCGUAGGCGGGUUGGUAAGUCCGUUGUGAAAGCCCUGGGCUCAACCUGGGAAUUGCAGUGGAUACUGGCGAGCUAGAGUGCGGUAGAGGAUGGUGGAAUUCCCGGUGUAGCGGUGAAAUGCGUAGAGAUCGGGAGGAACACCCGUGGCGAAGGCGGCCAUCUGGACCAGCACUGACGCUGAGGCACGAAAGCGUGGGGAGCAAACAGG
rnacentral:rRNA from 1 species